ACGUAGGGAGCAAGCGUUGUCCGGAUUUACUGGGUGUAAAGGGUGCGUAGGCGGCUAGGCAAGUCAGACGUGAAAACCAUGGGCUCAACCUGUGGACUGCGUUUGAAACUGUUUAGCUUGAGUGAAGUAGAGGUAGGCGGAAUUCCCGGUGUAGCGGUGAAAUGCGUAGAGAUCGGGAGGAACACCAGUGGCGAAGGCGGCCUACUGGGCUUUAACUGACGCUGAGGCACGAAAGCAUGGGUAGCAAACAG
rnacentral:rRNA from 1 species